rnacentral:rRNA from 1 species
GCCCGCGGCCUAUCAGCUAGUUGGUGAGGUAAUGGCUCACCAAGGCUUUGACGGGUAGCUGGUCUGAGAGGACGACCAGCCACACUGGGACUGAGACACGGCCCAGACACCUACGGGUGGCAGCAGUCGAGAAUUUUUGACAAUGGGGGAAACCCUGAUCGAGCGACGCCGCGUGGAGGAUGAAGGUCUUCGGAUUGUAAACUCCUGUCAUUGGGGAACAAGGUGCAUACGUUAACUGCGUGUGCAUUGAUAGUACCCGAAGAGGAAGAGACGGCUAACUCUGUGCCAGCAGCCGCGGUAAUACAGAGGUCUCAAGCGUUGUUCGGAUUCAUUGGGCGUAAAGGGUGCGUAGGCGGCGCGGUAAGUCGGGUGUGAAAUCUCGGAGCUUAACUCCGAAACUGCAUUCGAUACUGCCGUGCUUGAGGACUGGAGAGGAGACUGGAAUUUACGGUGUAGCGGUGAAAUGCGUAGAUAUCGUAAGGAAGACCAGUGGCGAAGGCGGGUCUCUGGACAGUUCCUGACGCUGAGGCACGAAGGUCAGGGGAGCAAACGGGAUUAGAUACCCCGGUAGUCCUGACAGUAAACGGUGCACGUUUGGUGUGGGAGGAUUCGACCCCUUCUGCGCCGGAGCUAACGCGUUAAACGUGCCGCCUGGGGAGUACGGUCGCAAGAUUAAAACUCAAAGAAAUUGACGGGGGCCCGCACAAGCGGUGGAGUAUGUGACCCAAUUCGAUGCAACGCGAAGAACCUUACCAGGCCUUGACAUGCAUCUCUAAGUUGGUGAAAGCCAGCGAGUCCCGAAAGGGACAAUUUGCACAGGUGCUGCAUGGCUGUCGUCAGCUCGUGUCGUGAGAUGUUGGGUUAAGUCCCGCAACGAGCGCAACCCCUGUGAACUGUUGCCACCGAGCCGUGAGGCUCGAGCACUCUGUUCAGACUGCCCCGCUCUAACGGGGAGGAAGGUGGGGACGACGUCAAGUCAGUAUGGCCCUUACGGCCUGGGCUGCACACGUACUACAAUGCCCAGCACAGAACGAUCCAAGACCGCGAGGUGGAGGAAAUCCCUAAAACUGGGCCCAGUUCAGAUUGAAGUCUGCAACUCGACUUCAUGAAGCCGGAAUCGCUAGUAAUGGCGUAUCAGCUACGACGCCGUGAAUACGUUCCCGGGCCUUAAUCACUAGUG